GUGUUCAUUUUGGCAGCACAUAUGAUAAAAUUGGAUUAAUGCAGGGAGAUUAAGCCUCUGUAUAAGGAUGAAGUGCAAACUUGUGAAGCAUUUCUGUUUGUG